rnacentral:sRNA from 1 species
UUCGAUCGCCUUUCAGGCGUUUCCUCCCUAAACUCGGGCCGCGGCUGUAUAGCUAGCGGCCUUUUCUCUUUUACGC